ensembl:lncRNA
CUAAGUGGCUGUAACAAAUGCCCAAACAUGUUAUGCAUUCAUGAAAUAAAAAUGCAUUUCAUGGGACUUCCCUGGUGGUCCUGGUGGCUAAGACUCCAGGCUCCCAAUUCAGGGGAGCUGGGUUUGAGCCCUGAUUGGGGAAGGAGAUUCCAUACAUUGCAACUAAGAGUUCACAUACUGCAACUAAAAUAUUCCGUGUGAUGCAACUAAGACCAGGCACAGCCAAAUAAAUAAUAAAGGAAAUAAAAAUAAAUAUUUAAAAAUUGCAUUCCUGACUCAUUUAAUAGCCUUUGGUACUCUUUUUUUUUUUUGCUGCAAAAAGCUUUACUGUUUCCAUAUGGUCCAAGGCUUGAGAGAGGGCUCCAGGGUGUUAAAAAAGCUGCCUAGUAGCUGCGGAGAGGGGCUUCAGGCAGCCCUGAUGUUAGGUGGGUUCUUCAAUGGCCACUGGUCUCCAGAAGCUCCUAGUCGUGCUUGAGGGUGAGCCUUUCGAAGAGAUACUCGCCCAACCCAGCCUGGGGACCAGCCAGCUCAUGGAGGUUGGUCAGGUGGUCACCCAUCUUCUUGAUGAGUUUCACUUCCUCAUCUAGGAAGUGGUUCUCCAGGAAGUCACAGAUGUGGGGGUCUCCGCGGGCAGAAGCCAGGCCAUGCAGAUCCAACAGGGCUUGAUUCAGGUUCUUCUCUACGAGAUGGCUUCUGCACGUCCAGGAAGAGGGCGCGGCCGCCACGCUGGUUUUGCAGUUUCAAGAGACGCUCCGCGCCCUCGCGCUUCUCCUUGGCCAAUUCGCAAAAAAAGUGACCCACACCCUCCAGGGCCACAUCGUCGCGGUCGAAAUAGAAGCCCAGAGAGAGGUAGGUGUAGGAGGUCCGCAGUUGCAUGUUAACCAGGCGGUUGACGGCGGCCUCCACCUCGGUAGAAUAAUUCUGACGAAUCUGGGAGCUCAUGAUUGGUCGGUAAUAAUAAGGAGUUAAAAAAUGGUGGCUGGUCCGGUGAUCACGGACAGCUGAGUGGCUGACUCAAGGUUGCGACUAGAAAAAGGUUGGAGGGUGGUCGGAGGCUGGAGCAAGGGGCGUCCCUGGGUCUGUUCCGUCCAAGCACUGUUGAAGCAAGAGACAGAUCCGCGGGGCCGCCGAGCGCACUUCCCCUUUGGUACUCUUGCAUGCAGUCCUCCCCAUGGUGACUAGUUCAGUGAACUGGGAGGAGAAAGAACACAGACAAGGCCCCUGCAGUCUUGUUGUUGUUCAGUUGUUAAGUCAUGUCCACCUCUUUGUAACCCCAUGGACUGCAGCAUGCCAGGCUUCCCUGUCCUUCACCAUCUCCCAGAGCUUGUUCAAACUCAUGACCAUUGAGUUGGUGUGCCAUCCAACCAUCUAAUCCUCUGCCAUCCCCUUCUCCUUUUGCCUUCAAUCUUUCCCUGCAGCAGGGUCUUUUCCAUUGAGUUGGCUCUUCGCAUCAGGUGACCAAAGUAUUGGAGCUUCAGCUUUAGCAUCAGUCCUUCCAAUGAAAUUGCAGGAUUGAUUUCCUUUAGGAUUGACUAAUUUGAUUUCCCUGCUCUCCAAGGGACUCUCAAGAGUCUUUUCUAGCACAAUUAGAAAGCAUCAAUUCUCUGGUGCUCAUUCUUCUUUAUUGCCCA